rnacentral:rRNA from 1 species
UGGGGAAUUUUGCACAAUGGGGGAAACCCUGAUGCAGCGACGCCGCGUGAUUUAGAAGGCCUUCGGGUUGUAAAAAUCUUUUCUAUGGGAAGAAAAUGACAGUACCAUAGGAAUAAGGACUGGCUAAUUACGUGCCAGCAGCCGCGGUAAUACGUAAGGUCCGAGCGUUGUCCGGAAUCAUUGGGCGUAAAGGGUACGUAGGCGGGUAAGCAAGUUAGAAGUGAAAUCCUGUAGCUCAACUACAGUAAGCUUUUAAAACUGCUCAUCUUGAGAUAUGGAAGGGAAAGUGGAAUUCCUAGUGUAGCGGUGAAAUGCGCAGAUAUUAGGAGGAAUACCGGUGGCGAAGGCGACUUUCUGGCCAUAAUCUGACGCUGAGGUACGAAAGCGGGGGUAGCAAACAGG